AGUCACUUGAAUGCCAGUUUAGAUUCAAGAGGAGAACAAUUAGACUCCACCAAUGUCAGACUGCUAAAAUGUAAAAAAUGGCCAUCAGGAUUUUCUAGGGCAGCAUAAUUAUUCUGCGAGUAGGUAAAGGAGUUUUGAUUGAGAUGAAGAGGUCAUAGAAGUGAGAAGCACUGAAAGACACAGAAGUUUGUUCCUUCCAGUGGGUUCGUGGUCUCACUGACUUCAAGAAUGAAGCCACGGACCCUCGCGAAAGGACCAGAACCAGGGGCAAAAUCUCACAGCUGCAGUAUCAUUUAAGACUCAGAGACAGCCUAUCCUUCUGGGCAAAGGGGCUGAAAAGAAGGACCCUGUGAUCCAAAGAGUUGGGGAAUUCUUCGGAUCCGUAUUGAAGUGAUUCAGCUAGAAAUUGAUAAUCUUCAUUUUAACACUGCUCUGAGUUAAUGGCUGCUCUUGAAAAGGUAUUGAAUCCACCUGGAAUUUCCUUGUGUUUAUGGUUCAAGCUGUUCGUGAGUAUUAUACCACUUGACGACUGAGGCAGAAUCAAAGAAAGUACUAAUGCUCUUCAGUAAAAUAUACAAAACUACAGACAAUGGCAGUGCCUUAUUUUGUAAAGUAUAUAGCUAUGAGCCUUUGCUACUCCUUGCUGACAUUUGGAAUUUAACUGAAGUGUCUUGUUAAAAAACAUUUAUGGAAAUAAAAAGAAUAUCUUUCCUUUUUAGGGAUAUAAAUUAAA
ensembl:lncRNA LINC00376 long intergenic non-protein coding RNA 376